GAAGGAGAGACUGGAGGGGAGAGGUGGCCCCCACACUGCCUUUACGGCUCUUUGUGGCUGAUCUCAGAGAGUGCUGGAGCUGAAGGAGGCAAGAUUACAGAACUCCCUCAACAAGAAUUUCUGGAUGCCCAAUAUCAACUUUAACAGAUCCUUUCAAAUUGUGUGAAUCACAGGGUUAGAUGCACGUGAAGGAAGCGCACUAGGGUACAGGGCACCCCUUGUGAGACUCUGAGUCUGGAGUGGACACAGCACAGUUAUAAUAACAACAGAGAACACAGCAUACAGUCUACUCCUUACAUUACAGCCCUUGUGAGACUCUGGACACAGCAUACAGUGUACCCCCUACAGUACAGCCCCUAUUGAUAUUCUGGACACAGCAUACAGUCUACUCCCUACAGUACAGCACCUUUUGAGACUCUGAACACAGCAUACAGUCUACUCCCUACAGUACAGCCCCUUGUGAUACUCUGGACACAGCAUACAGUCUACUCCCUACAGUACAGCCCCUUGUGAUACUCUGGACACAGCAUACAGUCUACUCCCUACAGUACAGCCCCUUGUGAGACUCUGGACACAGCAUACAGUGUACCCUCUACAGUACAGCCCCUUGUGAAACUCUGGACACAGCAUACAGUCUACCUCCUACAGUACCGCCCCGUGUAAGACUCUGGACACAGCAUACAGUCUACCCCCUACAGUACAGCCCCUUGUGAGACUCUGGACACAGCAUACAGUGUAUCCCCUACAGUACAGCUCCUUGUGAAACUCUGGACACAGCAUACAGUCUACUUCCUACAGUACAGCCCCUUGUGAGACUCUGGACAUAGCAUACAGUCUACUCCCUACAGUACAGCCCCGUGUGAGACUCUGGACACAGCAUACAGUCUACUCCCUACAGUACAGCUCCUUGUGAGACUCAGGACACAGCAUAUAGUCUACUCCCUACAGUACAGCCCUUGUGAUACUCUGGACGUAGCAUACAGUCUAUUCCCUACAGUACAGCCCCUUGUGAUACUCUGGACACAGCAUACAGUCUACUCCCUACAGUACAGCCCCGUGUGAGACUCUGGACACAGCAUACAGUCUACUCCCUACAGUACAGCCCCUUGUGAGACUCUGGAUACAGCAUACAGUCUACUUCCUACAGUACAGCCCCGUGUGAGACUCUGGAUACAGCAUACAGUCUACUCCCUACAGUACAGCCCCGUGUGAGACUCUGGACACAGCAUACAGUCUACUCCCUACAGUACAGCCCCUUGUGAGACUCUGGACACAGCAUACAGUCUACUUCCUACAGUUCAGCCCCGUGUGAGACUCUGGAUACAGCAUACAGUCUACUCCCUAUAGUACAGCCCUUGUGAGACUCUGGACACAGUAUACAGUCUACUCCCUACAGUACAGCCCCUUGUGAGACUCUGGACACAGCAUACAGUGUAUCCCCUACAGUACAGCUUCUUGUGAGACUCUGGACACAGCAUACAGUCUACUCCUUACAGUACAGCCCCUUGUGAGACUCUGGACACAGCAUACAGUGUAUCCCCUACAGUACAGCACCUUGUGAGACUCUGGACACAGCAUACAGUGUAUCCCCUACAGUACAGCCCCUUGUGAGACUCUGGACACAGCAUACAGUGUAUCCCCUACAGUACAGCCCUUGUGAUACUCUGGACACAGCAUACAGUGCACCCCCUACAGUACAGCCCCUUGUGAGACUCUGGACACAGCAUACAGUCUACUCCUUACAGUACAGCCCCUUGUGAGACUCUGGACACAGCAUACAGUCUACUCCUUACAGUACAGCCCCUUGUGAGACUCUGGACACAGCAUACAGUCUACUCCUUACAGUACAGCCCCUUGUGAGACUCUGGACACAGCAUACAGUCUACUCCUUACAGUACAGCCCCUUGUGAGACUCUGGACACAGCAUACAGUCUACUCCUUACAGUACUGCCCCUUGUGAGACUCUGGACACAGCAUACAGUCUACUCCUUACAGUACAGCCCCUUGUGAGACUCUGGACACAGCAGUUGCAGGCUUGCAGCAGUGUAUCCCCCUAUACAUUUACUUUAAUAUACUGACAAUCUAGUAUAAGGAUACUUUAUGUUCUACUUCCUUUCGCUUCCUAUAAACUAAAUGUCCCCCCUAAAUAUAUAUAUAUUUUUAUGCA